AUUGAACGCUGGCGGCAGGCUUAACACAUGCAAGUCGAGCGGGGGAAGGUAGCUUGCUACCGGACCUAGCGGCGGACGGGUGAGUAAUGCUUAGGAAUCUGCCUAUUAGUGGGGGACAACAUCUCGAAAGGGAUGCUAAUACCGCAUACGUCCUACGGGAGAAAGCAGGGGAUCUUCGGACCUUGCGCUAAUGGAUGAGCCUAAGUCGGAUUAGCUAGUUGGUGGGGUAAAGGCCUACCAAGGCGACGAUCUGUAGCGGGUCUGAGAGGAUGAUCCGCCACACUGGGACUGAGACACGGCCCAGACUCCUACGGGAGGCAGCAAUGGAGAAUAUUGGACAAUGGGGGGAACCCUGAUCCAGCCAUGCCGCGUGUGUGAAGAAGGCCUUAUGGUUGUAAAGCACUUUAAGCGAGGAGGAGGCUACUCUAGUUAAUACCUAGGGAUAGUGGACGUUACUCGCAGAAUAAGCACCGGCUAACUCUGUGCCAGCAGCCGCCGUAA
rnacentral:rRNA from 1 species